rnacentral:rRNA from 1 species
GAUGAACGCUAGCGGCAGGCCUAACACAUGCAAGUCGAGGGAGAAGCCCUUUCGGGGGCCGAAACCGGCGCACGGGUGCGUUACGCGUAUGCAACCUACCUUUCACAGGGGGAUAGCCCGAAGAAAUUUGGAUUAAUACCCCAUAAUAUUGUUGGAUGGCAUCAUUUGGCAAUUAAAACUGCGGUGGUGAAAGAUGGGCAUGCGUCCUAUUAGCUAGUUGGAGUGGUAACGGCACCCCAAGGCUACGAUAGGUAGGGGUCCUGAGAGGGAGAUCCCCCACACUGGUACUGAGACAGGGACCAGACUCCUACGGGAGGCAGCAGUGAGGAAGAUUGGUCAAUGGUCGGAAGACUGAACCAGCCAUGCCGCGUGCAGGAAGAAUGCCUUAUGGGUUGUAAACUGCUUUUAUAUGGGAAGAAUAAGGCGUACAUGUACGUUGAUGACGGUACCAUAUGAAUAAGCAUCGGCUAACUCCGUG